rnacentral:rRNA from 1 species
CAGCAGCCGCGGGAAUAUGAAGGGUGCAAGCGUUACUCGGAAUUACUGGGCGUAAAGCGUGCGUAGGCGGUGAGUUAAGUCUGCUGUGAAAUCCCCGGGCUCAACCUGGGAAUGGCAGUGGAUACUGGCUCGCUAGAGUGUGUCAGAGGAUGGUGGAAUUCCCGGUGUAGCGGUGAAAUGCGUAGAGAUCGGGAGGAACAUCAGUGGCGAAGGCGGCCAUCUGGGACAACACUGACGCUGAGGCACGAAAGCGUGGGAAGCAAACAGGAUUAGAGACCCCUGUAGUCCCUGUCUCUUAUAC